UACGUAGGGGGCAAGCGUUGUCCGGAUUUAUUGGGCGUAAAGAGCGUGUAGGCGGCCAGAUAGGUCCGUUGUGAAAACUCGAGGCUCAACCUCGAGACGCCGAUGGAAACCAUCUGGCUAGAGCCCGGAAGAGGAGAGUGGAAUUCCUGGUGUAGCGGUGAAAUGCGCAGAUAUCAGGAAGAACACCCGUGGCUAAGGCGGCUCUCUAGUACGGUACUGACGCUGAGACGCGAAAGCGUGGGGAGCGAACAGG
rnacentral:rRNA from 1 species